UAUUCGUCCUAAUAUCAUCACCUCCUCUCUACUCUGCAAUCAUUUGGUCCUUCCAUCUAUCUUGUACAUUUAAGCUUCUGCAUAUAUUUCAAGAAUUAACUCCAUGGUACAUCAUAUGUGGCCCUUAAUGGCGUGAUCUAUAAGAAUCUUUAUUAAUGGACCAAUAGUUACAGAAUAGAGAGUUGAAGGAUAAGGAAAAGUAAAGGGAUUAGACUAAAGAAACAUUUGAGAGUAGAGGAACCAAAUGUAAUGUUAACUUUUUCACUGUUAUUCAUGGCCAGACAAGAAAGAAAACCUGAUACGACUGACGACUAGUCUUGUUCAACUUUGUAAAUUGCCCAGCGAAUAUUGCUGGUUGACCUGUCUCUCUCAUUGGUUAAUUUGGUUCUAUAAAGUCUUCACAAUGAGAUAAACUAUCUAUUUCGUUAUUUUGUGCCUGGACUUGGUUGCCCUGAGAAUCUAACUAUUUACAAGCUUUAAUAUUCGAAAGCGUACUUCAUUUUCACUGUAAUUAUGCCGAGUUUCUUUGUGGGUUUUCUUUGUUUUUGUGUUAUCUUCUUGUUUUGAAGCUAAAGUUCAAAACUUUGUAACAGAAUUGUUACCUCUUCUCUUGCUUUGCUCUUUAAGGCAAAAUCCAAUUCUGAGUUAUGCUCGCUCUUUCUUUCUUUUAUUAGUUAAGGAAACAUCGUGGGGUUGAGUUUUUUCAAUCACUAGUAGUUAUCAAGGAAGUGGGAAGUGGGUUUUGAUGAAUAAGAAUUUUAGUCACAGAGAUUCUCUGUGGGGUGUUAACCUUCAUCAACAUGUGCUGCUUUUAAAUAUUGCUGUCUCUUUACUUUGCUUCUCUACUCCAGGGCUGCAAGGAGGCUACCUUGGCUACUUGAAUUCUGCUUGUAAUUCAAGGUGCUCUAAAGAUACUGUUAGAAUUGUGUAUGUUUUCAAGGCAAGUUUAUCGGAGGGAAAUUUUGGGGUUUAUUAGAAUUGGCCAUUUUGCGUAUUGGGAUUAACUGGUGGUUCGACUGAUUCCUUAUCAGCAAAGGAAGGAGCUUUUUAUAUCUGUUGUGGUUUCCAAAUCUCUAGAUCCAGCAUACUCCCUUUGCAUGGGAACUGAUGCUGCUGAAGUAGUGGAGACACUGCCAUUUCCUUAUUCCUUCAAGGUGCAUCACUCCAUGUGUACAGAGUUGAUGAAGUUGGUCGAUAAAGUUUCAAAAACAUUUCUAGAAAUUGAAGCAGCUCGACCUCGAUGCUCAUCAGGAAUACAGGCACUAUGCUUGUUAAACAAAGCACUUGAGAAAGCCAGGCAACAUCUUCAGUACUGUUGCGACUCUAGCAAACUAUAUUUGGCAAUAACGGGGGAUGCUAUUGUCUCAAAAUGUCAAAGAUCAAGGAACUUGUUGGAACAGACUUUAGCCCAAAUGCAAACAAUGGUUCCAAUAAUGUUGGCUGCCGAGAUAUCUCAAAUUAUUGAUGAUCUUAGGGCAGCAAUGUUUAUGCCGGAUUCCUCUGUAGAAGAGGCUGGUAAAGCCAUGCGUGAAUUGCUCAAGCAGGGCAAUUUAGGAUCUCAGUCUAUGGUGAAUUCUGAAAUCAAGGCUAUUCAACUUGCAGCUUCGAGACUGCAUAUUACAUCUCGAAAGGCCAUACUGAUAGAGAAAAGAUCUAUUAAGAAGCAGCUAGAUAAGGAUGGUGGCAAUAAACCCGGAAAAAGGAGUAUCUUAAAUUACCUUAUGUUUCUAUUGAAGAAGUAUGGAAACUUACUCAUUGAAGAGCAAACAGAGACUCCCAAAGCUCAGCAUGAAGGAUUAUUUUCACUGAAGAACCCCAGUGAUACUUCUUUCCAUCGACAAUACAAUCAAGUAGAGUCUUGUGUAGGAUGUGAGCAGUAUGAGACUCAAACUGACAUGUUUAGUAGAGCUACACCCCCUGAAGACUUUAAGUGUCCUAUAUCUAUGAGAGUGAUGUACGAUCCUGUUGUUAUUGCUUCUGGACAAACAUUUGAAAGGAUGUGGAUACAGAAGUGGUUUGAUGAGGGUAAUGAUACAUGCCCAAAAACCAAAGUGAAACUAGCUCAUUGUGCAUUGAUUCCAAACACAACCAUUAAAGACCUAAUAUCAAAGUGGUGUGUGAAGUAUGGAAUCACUAUUCAUGACCCAAGCAUUCGAGCAUUGAGGUUAUUGGACAUUUCUAUUAAUUCGAUCGCUAGUUUAAGCAGUUCCAUGAAUGAUCUAAACCUUCCACUGGAUAUUAGCAAUAUAUCCCUGGGGUCUUUAGAUGCUAGUUACAGUUCAGAUGCUUCACGAUCUAAGGUUGCAAGUGGGUCAAAUUUGAUUUUGGUACAGGACAAUGAUUAUUCCUGUGAAUGCCAUUCUUAUACAAAUAUGAAUCAGCAAGACUUGAAGUUUCUGUCUGGACUUGCUGAGCUUCCCUGGGAUUCUCAAUGCAAUAUGGUUGAAGAUGUCAAGGGCUGUUUGCAGUGUAAUGAUCAAGUUUGCCCUUCUCUAUCAUCUGAGAAUUUUGUCGAACCUCUAUUUAGAUUCCUGAGAGAUGCACGUGAACAACAAGAUAUAGGAGCUCAGAGAGUUGGAUUUCACUUGUUGCUUUCAUUUGUCAGCAAAAACAGAAGUGGAAUAUCAUACUUGCAUGAAGAGGCCUUUAAUCUGUUGUCAUCAUUCCUUGAUUCUGAAGUAAUUGAAGAGGUUCUUGCCAUAUUUGAAGUGCUGUCUGGCUACCCAUAUUGCAGAUCUAAAAUCACUGCAUUUGGUGCUCUUGUUUCUAUCCGAAAGAUGCUUGACUCCCAUAACAAAGAAUUCCAAGAACUGGCCAUUAAAAUUCUACAUAAUUUGUCCUCAAACGAUGAUAUUUGUUCCCAAAUUGCAUCUAUGGAGUGCAUCUCAAAAUUGGUUCCUUUGAUGAAGGAUGGGAAUCUCUCAAGAUAUUCUAUAGUUUUAUUAAGAAAUUUGUGUGAUCUUGAAGUGGCUAGGGUUUCUGUUGCUGAGACAAAUGGAUGUAUUGCUUCUAUUGCUGAGCUACUUGAGAGUGGUAGUCAGGAGGAACAAGAGCAUGCAGUGGCCAUUCUGCUUUUGUUAUGCUCUCAGCGUCUUCAAUAUUGCCAGUUGGUGAUGGAUGAAGGUGUUAUCCCUUCCCUUGUUGAUAUAUCUAUCAAUGGAACUGACAAAGGGAGAGCAAGUGCUUUGGAAUUGCUUCGGCAGUUAAGAGACAUCGAAUAUGAUAAUGAUCAAGAAAGCUUUUGCUCUGAUCUUGUUACUGAUAGAGAUGCUGACCACCAAACAAGAGAAAAGAAAUCAUCUCCCAAGACAUCUGGAUUUCUCAAGAAUUUAUCAGUGUUCUCUAUACGCAGUUCUGUUGCAUCAAAAAAGAAGAGAUGACACUUCAAACCGCUCCUUUUUCUGAUCUUUUGGGACUCAGAAUCCUUUUUAAUGUCAAAUAUAGAAUCAACCUUUCCAGUUUUCUGUUUCUCAUACCUUGUGGUGCUACUCCUUGUCUGGAAUGGAAUUGCAAUAGCAUCAAACUGAAGAUAUUUUAUGUUUAAUUGGAAUUUAGAAAGCUUGGUUGCCAAGUGUCAAUCUCUGGCAGGAAAGAAAUGAGGUUGCCGCCAUGUCUUGCUGAUGGCAGUGCCUCAGGGAUGGAGUUUUUUUCUUUGGUCUGAUGUAAUUAAAUGCUGAAGUUCAGCAGUUAAAGGGAGAGGAGGUGAUUACAUGGAGUAUGAUAGAUCUUAAACUUGAACCUGGGAUUGGAGCUCAGGCGUGAAUUUGAUCUGAACAUUUGAUAAAUGAGCAGCUUUGAUGGCCGAAGCUGUUGGAGACACAAGCAUAUGAAGGUGGUUGGGGAUUCUCCAAGGAUCCAACACUUUGCCAACCCUUGGUCUCCUAACCCCCAUCACUUACCUUGAUACCCAUCAUUUUAAAGAUGCCUCAAGUUAUAUUUAUCUCAAUAAUAUGAAUUAUAUAUUGAGUCCUUAGAUCUCAAUGCUAUGUCUUUCUCAUCUUAUCUUGUGAGAUAUAUAUUGUAAUGAUUUUGUUUAUCACCAACUUGUUUUAAAUAUUUUCCUCUUGGCCAAAAGGAAAGCUUUAAGACAAUGGUUAACUAUUGACGGAUAAAGUAUUUUGUA